rnacentral:rRNA from 1 species
AGCUCCAAUAGCGUAUAUUAAAGUUGUUGCAGUUAAAAAGCUCGUAGUUGGAUUUCUGGUUGGAGCGACCGGUCGGGCAUUGAUUUGUCUGCACUGGAGUCGGUUCUGGCCAUCCUCUUGGAAAGUGCGUCUGUCAUUAAGUUGUCGGGCGUAUGAUCCAGGUCGUUUACUGUGAAAAAAUUAGAGUGUUUAAAGCAGGCCUUCGCCUUGAAUACAUUAGCAUGGAAUAAUAAGAUAGGACUUUGGUCUAUUUUGUUGGUUUGCAGACCGAAGUAAUGAUUAAUAGGGAUAGUUGGGGGUAUUUAUAUUCCAAUGUCAGAGGUGAAAUUCUUAGAUUUUUGGAAGAUAAACUUAUGCGAAAGCAUUUACCAAGGAUGUUUUCAUUAAUCAAGAACGAAAG